rnacentral:piRNA from 1 species
UCUGUCCUGCAAAAUGGUGU